GUCUUUGCGCAGUGGCAAUAUCGUAACUAAUGAGGUUAAUCCGAGGUGCGAUUAUUGCUAAUUGAAAACUUUUCCCAAUGCCUCGUCACGAUUACUUGAAAUAUAGUAAUUAGUGGCAAUUUUUGGUAGUCUCUACGGAGA